UAGUUUUUGUAGUUGAAUCACAGCGGUAGUUUUUCAGACUACAGGUAUGGGUUAGAGCCCCAUUAAAAAUA
rnacentral:tRNA from 1 species